rnacentral:tRNA from 1 species
UANAAUAUAGUGUAAGUUUGGUAGCACGAANAUCUUUGAAUUCUUAAGAU